rnacentral:rRNA from 1 species
UACGUAGGUGGCGAGCGUUGUCCGGAAUUACUGGGUGUAAAGGGCGCGUAGGCGGGGAGAUAAGUCAGAUGUGAAAUUCCCAGGCUCAACUUGGGCGCUGCAUCUGAAACUAUUUUUCUUGAGUGCUGGAGAGGAAAGCGGAAUUCCUAGUGUAGCGGUGAAAUGCGUAGAUAUUAGGAGGAACACCAGUGGCGAAGGCGGCUUUCGGGACAGUAAUUGGCGUUGAGGCGCGAAAGCGUGGGGAGCAAACAGG